rnacentral:rRNA from 1 species
AACGAACGCUGGCGGCGUGCCUAACACAUGCAAGUCGAGCGAGAAAGUAGCAAUACGAGUACAGCGGCGAACGGGUGAGUAACACGUAGGUAAUCUACCUAGUAGCGGGGGAUAGCAUCUCGAAAGGGGUAAUAAUACCGCAUAAGAAAACAGGUCGAUGGAUCUGUUUUGAAAGGGGGCUUCGCAAGAAGCUUUCACUACUAGAUGAGCCUUCGUCCCAUUAGCUAGUUGGUAGGGUAAUGGCCUACCAAGGCUACGAUGGGUAGCUGGUCUGAGAGGACGACCAGCCACACUGGAACUGACACACGGUCCAGACUCCUACGGGAGGCAGCAGUGGGGGAAUAUUGCGCAAUGGAGGAAACUCUGACGCAGCGACGCCGCGUGAGUGAUGAAGGCCU